rnacentral:rRNA from 1 species
GAGCGCCGUAGCAAUACGGAGCGGCAGACGGGAGAGUAACACGUGGGAACGUGCCCUUCAGUUCGGAACAACCCAGGGAAACUUGGGCUAAUACCGGAUACGUCCGUAAGGAGAAAGAUUUAUCGCUGAAGGAUCGGCCCGCGUCUGAUUAGCUAGUUGGUGAGGUAACGGCUCACCAAGGCAAUGAUCGGUAGCUGGUCUGAGAGGAUGGCCAGCCACACUGGAACUGAGACACGGUCCAGACUCCUACGGGAGGCAGCAGUGGGGAAUCUUGCGCAAUGGGCGAAAGCCUGACGCAGCGACGCCGCGUGGGGGAUGAAGCUUCUCGGAGUGUAAACCCCUUUCGACCGGGACGAAUGCCCGCAAGGGAGUGACGGUACCGGUAGAAGAAGCCCCGGCUAACUACGUG